CACGUAGGGCGCAAGCGUUGUCCGGAAUUAUUGGGCGUAAAGAGCUCGUAGGCGGUCUGUUGCGUCUGCUGUGAAAACUCGGGGCUUAACCCCGAGCCUGCAGUGGAUACGGGCAGACUAGAGGUAGGUAGGGGAGAAUGGAAUUCCCGGUGUAGCGGUGAAAUGCGCAGAUAUCAGGAGGAACACCGGUGGCGAAGGCGGGUCUCUGGGCCGUAACUGACGCUGAGGAGCGAAAGCGUGGGGAGCGAACAGG
rnacentral:rRNA from 1 species